UGCCGUGGUGGGCGGGUUCAGGUGGGCUGACGUUGCCGUCGCCAGCGAAGAGGGUUCGAGUCCCCAUGGCGGCGG
rnacentral:tRNA from 1 species